GAGGAUAUAGCUCAGUGGUAGAGCACAUGCCUGGCAUGCAGGAGGUCCUGGGUUCAAUCCCCAGUACCUCCA
rnacentral:tRNA from 1 species